UACGAAGGGGGCUAGCGUUGCUCGGAAUUACUGGGCGUAAAGCGCACGUAGGCGGAUUGUUAAGUCGGGGGUGAAAUCCUGGAGCUCAACUCCAGAACUGCCUUCGAUACUGGCGAUCUCGAGUUCGGGAGAGGUGAGUGGAACUGCGAGUGUAGAGGUGAAAUUCGUAGAUAUUCGGAAGAACACCAGUGGCGAAGACGGCUCACUGGACCGGCAUUGACGCUGAUGUGCGAAAGCGUGGGGAGCAAACAGG
rnacentral:rRNA from 1 species